rnacentral:rRNA from 1 species
UUCGGCUGUACCACCCUAAAUGUGCCCGAGCUUGCCUGGUCUCAGAAGCUAAGCAGUGUCGGGCCUGAUCAGUUUUUGGAUGGGAGACAUCUUCGGAGGAGACCGCUCACAGACAAGU